rnacentral:rRNA from 1 species
UACAGAGGGUGCAAACGUUGUUCGGAAUCACUGGGCAUAAAGCGUAUGUAGGCGGCUCCGUAAGUGUCGGGUGAAAUCCCACGGCCUACCCGUGGAACUGUUCGGCAUACUGCGGAGCUAGAGGAUGGUAGAGGAGAGCGGAACUCUUGGUGGAGCGGUGAAAUGCGUAGAUAUCAAGAGGAACACCGGUGGCGAAGGCGGCUCUCUGGUCCAUUACUGACGCUGAGGUACGAAAGCUAGGGGAGCAAACGGG